UAUUAUUAGUGGUAGAACUAGGAUUGGUAUUUUUAAAAACUUUGUUUUAAUAUUAAACUGUUCUUAUCUCAAUGCAUGAAUUUUCCUUUUAUUUUCCUUUCCCUAAUUCUCCCCUUCCCACUGAUGGAGGGAGUGUGCAAACAGCUGCUUUGGGACUCAGUUGCUGGCAGGUUAAACCAUGACAGACCUUAAUCUCUGAAUGGUUUACCUGUCUUAGUGGACCAACUGGAGAAAUUGGGUGUGAUGCAGACUGAGUGAGAGGGACAGCAUAUGGCUCUAAAUUUGCUGUACUCCUUCUGCUUCAUGUCAAUGCCACAGAAUAAAGUUUUGUAUUAGGGAAAUUGGGACCUCCAUUAAAAAUGUAUGUCACAUUAGGUGAUAUAUUACUCUUCCAAACCCUCGUCAUGAACAUCCAAAAAUAGCUUGCCAUGGACAUGUAAGGCAGGUCAUAGACUCUGGUGAACAAAAUUUAGUGUUCCAUGGGGAUGGGGAGAAAUGCCCUAAUGAAAUCACCAGCCUUGAACUAAGCUGCUUUUCUUAGGUGGCUCCCCCAGACCUCAGUAAAAACGUGUCUGUGCAGGUUCAGCCAAGCUGCCUGUUGAAUAGUUUGGCCAAAUGCAGGAAGCAAGAUCUUUGACCUUCUGCAGUGUCCUCAUUGUAGACGCAUGCAUAUAAUUUCCAGUAAUUUAACAGGAGCUUUAGUUUGAAAAAGAUUUGGGUUUUAUUACUUUCAUUCAUCAUCAUUAACUCAUGCCAUGUGGCGGAGAGGAGGGAAUGACAUAUUUCCGCAAUUAGAUUCAGUAUUUUGCAUGAAAAAAUGAGCUGUUACAGCAAAUGCUUCUUUUGAAAUAGGGACUAAAACAAAUGGAAACAAAAGUUGUGAUAUGUGCUUGGAAGACAAGAGUUAAAAAAGGAUAUUUUUACUAUGAAGUCUUCUUUAAGUUGUGGUUAGAAAGGAUUUAACCUUCUAACCUGUUCCUACCGUGUACUUGGCUUAUGUUCAAAAAAUGUUUUCAUCCAGUACCUUGAUGCACUUCUAAUUUGUCUGUUACUAAUGUGUUCUAUUUCUGCUUACUCUUAAAAGGUUCACUGACUUUGUCUGCUAAAAGUACCUUCAUGUAGGGCUGCUUCAGUGUGCAGGGGGAGUGUGAAAUUUCAUUUGAUUUUAAGUUUGUGUGGGUUUGCUUUGCUUGAAUUUUGAUUUAGCUGAGCCCAACAACUUAACACAAAACACAGGUAGGAAAAUCGUAUUUCCUAUGGUACGGAAUGCAAAAGGGAUUAGUUCUUUGGAGUGGCUUGCUGUUGGGCUGAGGUGCACUUGAAGCAUUUUGCUACACUUUAUUUUUUAACCCUUUGCUGGGCAAGGGCCUGAUCCUGUUCUCCAUGAUGUGAAAGGGAAGUUUCCCAUCAUGGGAACAACGUGGGGCCUGACGUAGGUAAUGAAACCCAAAACCGGGCAAGUUUGAUGUGGUUGAAUGUUCCUGCCAGCAUUCCUCACGACUGUGUGUGUGACACAUGCUCCCUUGAUAAUCUAAUGAAGAAUAUGUGGAGAGCCAAACAUGUAUUUUAUUUUACAGAACAGGCUGCAUUUUCCGUAAUUUGCCUUUUCUCCUUGCAUGCAUCUCAUUCUUGUGGAUGUUCACAUGAGCCAGUACUCCUGAUAGCUUUUCUGCUUUCCUUCUUGGAAUGUUGGUUUUCUUUUCUGCAUGUUCAAUUACAUGUGCACAUUCAUCUAUCAUUAGUUCCUCUCCACUGGAGGAUAUUUUACAGAGCUCUUUAUGCAGCAUUCAUAAUAUUCUCAUCCAUGAUUUGGAUUUCUUACUGACAGAAAAAGUUCAAUCCUUUUUGCUGCUGUUUUAUUCAUUUUAUAGCUUUAUCUAGAUAAACUGUUUGCAAGUUCUACAGUGGAAUUUUAGUACUUUGGUUGAAUUUUCCCCUUCUAAUUCAAUUGUGCAUUGAAUUCUGUUUAAAUUUAUAUUUAUUUAUACUGGUUUUAAGGCAUUUAAAAAUGUAAGGUCCUCAUUUAUCAGGAUUUCUCUACUGAUUGCAUUCUUACAUUGUUGUCAUAAUUCUCACCGGAUUUUUUUUGUUGUUGUUGCUCUCUCUCCUCUCUGAAAAAAUGAUUCUCAUUGUUUGAUUAUGCUUGCCAGCUCGUUUCUGUUUCAGGAGAGAAAAAGUGAUCCUUUGUGUUACUGUACUCUAUUACCUAUGUUAGUAGUAAGAGUGUAUGUGUCUAGCUGUGAGUGAUGGGGAGAUGUCCAGAAGCAAACCACUGUAGUCUCUCCUUGCACCAGCUGCCCUCCAGACUAUUUUUGCUAGAAUAUGCACCAUGAGAAAGGCAUUUAUUGAAAAUGUCACCUAAACUCAGUUUAUAACAUAUUUUCUUGUGACCUCAGCACAGGCACGAGAGGAAGAAUUCAGACCUAGUUUGAUUUCUCUCCUCCAUCUUUUAAAGAGCAAGAUUCCUGCCUGGCACUCUUAGGAAGGUUCAAACUUGUCCUUUCCACAAUGGCUGCAGUAACACUCAGGAGCAGUGGACUCUGCAUUGAUUACAAGAAAAUGAUGCAUGUUGCUCGAUGCAGAUGAAUGAUGUUCCGGAGUGGCAAGUUGAUGUCUUCAGAUUGAACAAAGCCCCCUGUGUUUUAUCAGCUGGCCUCUGGUCAGAAAGUGUUCCUGUGAUCUGCAGUGUCUCGAGGUGUGCUAAUAGCAAGGUGGGUAAGAGCUGACAUGAUACUCAGGGUUUGGUUUUAUAAAAAGCCAUUGACCACUUUAAGGGACACUCUUAGCACUCUAGGCAUAACUGCAAACCUGGAGACCAUUUGUCAUAAAGAUUAUUACUAGGUGGUUAAGCACUUGAAAGGCUACCACUUGAUGCAAGACCUUCCCUAUAAAAGCUUGGCUAUAGGUCGGUAAUUUGCCAAUAUUCCUGGGUCAGGAGAAAGCAGCUUAAGAUCAGAAAUAAUAAUAGAACAUUUUAAAGCUGACAGUACAAUGCCAGAAAUGGGGGAAGUAUUAAUAAUUUUCAUGAUAAAAAGACCCUAUCAGGUUUAGGGGGAGGAAAAGAGUCACAAAGGAAUCUAGCUGUAGAUUUGAAGAGAUACUUCAAAGGGCUUCAUUAAUAUAAAAGGAAAGAUUAGCCCAAGAACAAAAGAAUAGGAGAGGAGUUUGCAGGUAUAAACCCAGCAGAAGAAUUAUUAUAAUGUCAUACAUGGGGUAUUUGAGUGAAAAGCUAAAGAGAAAUUAAAACAAAGCUAUCUUUAAACUUUUCAAUCCAAUAAUGUCAUUAAGGAUAUCGUCCAAAAGUUAAGAUGAGGGUUUUUAUGGAAUGCUGCUGUGAAACUUAAUUUUGAACACAAAUGCAGAGCUGGCACAAGGAAGGAUAAGAAAAGCAGCAGAGGACUUACAGCCACUUUCAUACACAACCUAGGGCCAAAUUCCUUAGUUCUUUGGGAAUUUCACCGCUUUUGUGAGACAACAGCAACUGUAAUUUCUUCUUCUAGGGCUUAGAGUGUAGUCCAAGAGCUUAAUAAAACAACGUGAAAGAAAGCUCAUUUGCUUGACUUUGUAUGCAAGUUCACAUUUGAAACUGAAGAGCAAACAGUGCCAUGAGAUACCCAUUGUGGCUCAUGAAUGGAAAAUGAAUUAUGUUGUUCAAGUAUCAUGUUCACUUGCAUAUUUCCACGUUGCAAAACAAUGGCUUACAAAAUACUGCACGCAGCAUGCCUAUAAUUUUGGGUUGGAGUUGAAGGGCAAUUUAGUAAUAUUUUGCCCAAAGGCUCCCAGCAGCAUUGACACAGUUUUGGCCCCUUGUGAUGAUCCCUUUUUGAAGACACAAUAAUGACCUGGUUUGCAUCCCAAGGAGCUUACAAUCUAAUUGAAGAUCCAAGAAUACUGAUGAUAAACAGGGAGGGAAAAAAUAGAUGAAAGGAAAAGGAUAAUAUCCAUUUACCUACUGGUAGAGACUACCUGCCCUCUCUACUGCUGUGCUUCCAUUCAAGCCCUGUUCAAUGCCUGUGACAUCCCUACUACAGCUAUGAUGUGUAUUAAUUCAGAAGCUCAGCAGCUUGGGUUGGCUGAGCUCUUCAGUUAGUCUGGAUGGUUUAGAAUUUCUUUUGGAUUGAGGGGAAAGUGUAUCUAGCUUCCUGCUGCUCCUCCUGCUUAUACCUGAGUUUUUAGAUGCUUUAUUCAGUGUCAUAGGAGAAGGGUGUAGGUGAGCUGUAGCCCAAAGUGCUGAGGCUCUGCUGCUGUCAGAUCCUGGGCCAUUGCCACUGGGGCUGGUGGGAAGGAGCUGCUUGGGAUGAUGUCUGCCCUUGGAUGGAGGGGGAGGUGUCUUCUUCCAAGCUGCUGGGAGUCCAAUGCAAAGGCUGGUUCAUUUCUCCCAGGAGAAGGCAAAGGCUGUCCUGUCUGCAGAAUUUAGGUUAA